rnacentral:rRNA from 1 species
GACGAACGCUGGCGGCGUGCUUAACACAUGCCAGUCGAACGGAAAGGCCCUGCUUUUGUGGGGUGCUCGAGUGGCGAACGGGUGAGUAACACGUGAGUAACCUGCCCUUGACUUUGGGAUAACUUCAGGAAACUGAGGCUAAUACCGGAUAGGAGCUCCUGCUGCAUGGUGGGGGUUGGAAAGUUUCGGCGGUUGGGGAUGGACUCGCGGCUUAUCAGCUUGUUGGUGGGGUAGUGGCUUACCAAGGCUUUGACGGGUAGCCGGCCUGAGAGGGUGACCGGCCACAUUGGGACUGAGGUACGGCCCAGACUGCUACGGGAGGCAGCAGUGGGGAAUAUUGCACAAUGGGCGGAAGCCUGAGGCAGCAACGCCGCGUGCGGGAUGACGGCCUUCGGGGGGUAAACCGCUUUCGCCUGUGACGAGGCGUGAGUGACGGUAAUGGGUAAAGAAGCACCGGCUAACUACGUG